rnacentral:rRNA from 1 species
CGGCUUUCUCUAAUACAGAGGGCUAAUGACGGUACCUGAAGAAUAAGCACCGGCUAACUACGUGCCAGCAGCCGCGGUAAUACGUAGGGUGCAAGCGUUAAUCGGAAUUACUGGGCGUAAAGCGUGCGCAGGCGGUUAUGCAAGACAGAUGUGAAAUCCCCGGGCUCAACCUGGGAACUGCAUUUGUGACUGCAUGGCUAGAGUACGGCAGAGGGGGAUGGAAUUCCGCGUGUAGCAGUGAAAUGCGUAGAUAUGCGGAGGAACACCGAUGGCGAAGGCAAUCCCCUGGGCCUGUACUGACGCUCAUGCACGAAAGCGUGGGGAGCAAACAGGAUUAGAUACCCUGGUAGUCCACGCCCUAAACGAUGUCAACUGGUUGUUGGGAGGGUUUCUUCUCAGUAACGUAGCUAACGCGUGAAGUUGACCGCCUGGGGAGUACGGCCGCAAGGUUGGAACUCAAAGGAAUUGACGGGGACCCGCACAAGCGGUGGAUGAUGUGGUUUAAUUCGAUGCAACGCGAAAAACCUUACCUACCCUUGACAUGUCUGGAAUCCUGAAGAGAUUUGGGAGUGCUCGAAAGAGAGCCAGAACACAGGUGCUGCAUGGCCGUCGUCAGCUCGUGUCGUGAGAUGUUGGGUUAAGUCCCGCAACGAGCGCAACCCUUGUCAUUAGUUGCUACGAAAGGGCACUCUAAUGAGACUGCCGGUGACAAACCGGAGGAAGGUGGGGAUGACGUCAGGUCAUCAUGGCCCUUAUGGGUAGGGCUACACACGUCAUACAAUGGCCGGGACAGAGGGCUGCCAACCCGCGAGGGGGAGCUAAUCCCAGAAAACCGGUCGUAGUCCGGAUCGUAGUCUGNCACUCGACUGCGUGAAGUCGGAAUCGCU